AGAGUUUGAUCAUGGCUCAGAAUCAACGCUGGCGGCGCGCUUAACGCAUGCAAGUCGAACGAGAAAGUGGAGCAAUCCAUGAGUACAGUGGCGUACGGGUGAGUAACACGUGGGUAAUCUACCUUUUAGUGUGGAAUAACCCUGGGAAACCGGGGCUAAUACCGCAUAAUCUCGAGAGAGGAAAGUCGCAAGACGCUGAAAGAGGAGCCCGCGGCCGAUUAGCUAGUUGGCAGGGUAAGAGCCUACCAAGGCAGAGAUCGGUAGCCGGCCUGAGAGGGCACACGGCCACACUGGCACUGAAACACGGGCCAGACUCCUACGGGAGGCAGCAGUGGGGAAUCUUGCACAAUGGGGGCAACCCUGAUGCAGCGACGCCGCGUGAGCGAUGAAGCCCUUCGGGGUGUAAAGCUCUUUCGUCAGGGACGAUAAUGACGGUACCGGGAGAAGCAGCUGCGGCUAACUACGUGCCAGCAGCCGCGGUAAUACGUAGGCAGCGAGCGUUGUUCGGAGUUACUGGGCGUAAAGGGUGUGUAGGCGGUUGUUUAAGUUUGGUGUGAAAUCUCCCGGCUCAACUGGGAGGGUGCGCCGAAUACUGAAUGACUAGAGUGCGGGAGAGGAAAGUGGAAUUCCUGGUGUAGCGGUGAAAUGCGUAGAUAUCAGGAGGAACACCGGUGGUGUAGACGGCUUUCUGGACCGUAACUGACGCUGAGACACAAAAGCGUGGGUAGCAAACAGGAUUAGAUACCCUAGUAGUCC
rnacentral:rRNA from 1 species